CUGGCUCAGGAUGAACGCUGGCGGCGUGCUUAACACAUGCAAGUCGAACGGAACUUUCUCCCGACGAAAUUGCGAGCUUGCUCAAGAUGGAGUCAUUUGAAAAGUUUAGUGGCGGACGGGUGAGUAACGCGUGGGUAACCUGCCAUAUACAGGGGGAUAACACUUAGAAAUAGGUGCUAAUACCGCAUAAGCGCACAGGACCGCAUGGUCUAGUGUGAAAAAACUCCGGUGGUAUAUGAUGGACCCGCGUCUGAUUAGCUAGUUGGUGAGGUAACGGCCCACCAAGGCGACGAUCAGUAGCCGGCCUGAGAGGGUGAACGGCCACAUUGGGACUGAGACACGGCCCAAACUCCUACGGGAGGCAGCAGUGGGGAAUAUUGCACAAUGGGGGAAACCCUGAUGCAGCCGACGCCGCGUGAGUGAAGAAGUAUUUCGGUAUGUAAAGCUCUAUCAGCAGGGAAGAUAAUGACGGUACCUGACUAAGAAGCCCCGGCUAACUACGUGCCAGCCGCAGC
rnacentral:rRNA from 1 species